rnacentral:sRNA from 1 species
UAUCUAGAUAAUAUUUCAAGCUGGACUGC